CCCCAGCCACUUCUGUUCCCCCUCCUAAAACCUCAGUCUCCCUCUCGUUCUCUCUCUAAACCCCCUCUAUGUUCUUCAUAUAGAUACCCAUACCCAUAUAUACGUUUGCCCAUAUAUGCGNNNNNNNNNNGUUUUAGUAUUCAUCUAAAGCUGCGAUUGGAUUGAACCUUGUUUUGGGAGUCUAAUGGCGGGGAAAUCUAAUAAAGGGAGGAACCGGAGGGGUUCAAAUAACACAGCG
rnacentral:misc_RNA from 1 species